CCUACGGGUGGCAGCAGUGGGGAAUAUUGCACAAUGGGGGAAACCCUGAUGCAGCGAUGCCGCGUGAGUGAAGAAGGAAUUCGGUAUGUAAAGCUCUAUCAGCAGGGAAGAAAAUGACGUUACCUAUGUAAGAAGCCCCUGCUAACUACGUGCCAGCAGCCGCGGUAAUACGUAGGGGGCAAGCGUUCACCGGAGUUACUGGGUGUAAAGGGAACGUAGACGGCAGUGCAAGUCAGGAGUGAAAGGCGCGGGCUCAACCUGCGAACUGCUCUGGAAACUGUACGGCUUGAGUGCAGGAGAGGGAAGUAGAAUUCCAAGUGUAGCGGUGAAAUGCGUAGAGAUUAGGAGGAACACCAGUGGCGAAGGCGGCUUCCUGGACUGAAACUGACGUUGAGGCGCGAAAGCGUGGGGAGCAAACAGGAUUAGAUACCCUAGUAGUC
rnacentral:rRNA from 1 species